UAGUGCUAAAGGUGACCAAACAUUUCCGAUUAUAUCAGUUUGGAGACCUAAAGCAGGAGG
ensembl:miRNA mdo-mir-7299 mdo-mir-7299